rnacentral:rRNA from 1 species
GACGAACGCUGGCGGCGUGCUUAACACAUGCCAGCCGAACGGAAAGGCCCUGCUUUUGUGGGGUGCUCGAGUGGCGAACGGGUGAGUAACACGUGAGUAACCUGCCCUUGACUUUGGGAUAACUUCAGGAAACUGGGGCUAAUACCGGAUAGGAGCUCCUGCUGCAUGGUGGGGGUUGGAAAGUUUCGGCGGUUGGGGAUGGACUCGCGGCUUAUCAGCUUGUUGGUGGGGUAGUGGCUUACCAAGGCUUUGACGGGUAGCCGGCCUGAGAGGGUGACCGGCCACAUUGGGACUAAGAUACGGCCCAGGCUCCUACGGGAGGCAGCAGUGGGGAAUAUUGCACAAUGGGCGGAAGCCUGAUGCAGCAACGCCGCGUGCGGGAUGACGGCCUUCGGGUUGUAAACCGCUUUCGCCUGUGACGAAGCGUGAGUGACGGUAAUGGGUAAAGAAGCACCGGCUAACUACGUG